rnacentral:rRNA from 1 species
CGAACGCUGGCGGCGUGCUUAACACAUGCAAGUCGAACGGAAAGGCCCUGCUUUUGUGGGGUGCUCGAGUGGCGAACGGGUGAGUAACACGUGAGUAACCUGCCCUUGACUUUGGGAUAACUUCAGGAAACUGGGGCUAAUACCGGAUAGGAGCUCCUGCUGCAUGGUGGGGGUUGGAAAGUUUCGGCGGUUGGGGAUGGACUCGCGGCUUAUCAGCUUGUUGGUGGGGUAGUGGCUUACCAAGGCUUUGACGGGUAGCCGGCCUGAGAGGGUGACCGGCCACAUUGGGACUGAGAUACGGCCCAGACUCCUAAGGGAGGCAGCAGUGGGGAAUAUUGCACAAUGGGCGGAAGCCUGAUGCAGCAACGCCGCGUGCGGGAUGACGGCCUUCGGGUUGUAAACCGCUUUCGCCUGUGACGAAGCGUGAGUGACGGUAAUGGGUAAAGAAGCACCGGCUAACUAC